rnacentral:lncRNA from 1 species
ACAAACCAAAAUUCGACCGUCCGAUAUGAUCAUUAUGACGAAAGAUGUCUAUGGUAAAAAAUUCAACUGGAUUCGACAACGUUAAGGGCUCGAUCGAAACGGUCAACUCUAAUCGGAAAUAAGAAAACUGCAUUUUGAAGCCCUAAACGGACUCGGAUGACCAAAAAGGCCCGUACAUCAUGGCACUAGCGAUGAGUUUGACUCGUAGGGCCGUUACGCUUCCGGAAAGGUAUCACAAUAGUCAAUCAGACACCAAAAACCAAAUCUGCAGCAUAGUGAAUAAUAAGGGUAAAUUGCAUUGACCACAACUAUCGGCACCGAGACUUUAUCGGAAUACCGUGAUUUUUCAAAUGUAGACGUAUUUCACCAUUCUGGUCAUAUCUUAUUUCACAACUUUUUUGCGUUUGAAGGUUCUACGUAUAGUUUAUUUUUUCCCAGAUGAGUUGUUAUCUAGAUCUGUAAAUAUAAGGCACUUUAGCCGACGAAAUUAUAUUUUUCGUCGGCUAAACUUUUAAAAAUUUCGUCGGCUAAAGUUCACAGACUAUAGCUGACGAAAAAAAUUAUUCAAACGACGAAAUUUUAAUUUCGUCGGCUAAAGUUGACCAUAGCCGACGAAAAUUUUUAAUUAGCCGACGAAGGGACUUUAGCCGACGAAAAAAUAAUUCGUCGGCCUGGUUUUUUUAUUUUCGUCGGCUAAAGUCUUUCUUCUGGUAGUGUCCCACGCUCACGUCACACCAUAAUGGGGCUAAUUGCUACACCAUUAUGGCGGAAAAACACGUAUGGCUAGCUAGCAUUUUUAUACAUUCUAUCCUUAUAAAUAUCCUUAUAUAUUCACCGAAAAUCCCAUUUUCGGUAACUCUUCAAAAUAAUGAAAAUUGCCAAAUAUAAAAGAAUGAAAUAUGUAUAUGACUCCACCGAAAAUCCUAUUUUUGGUAACUUUCUAAAUAGCGAAGUUAACAAUAAAAAUAAAAAUAUUAACUUCCAAAAUAACUUAACAGAAAUAAUCAUGAAAGGAUAUCAAUUCCACACAUUAAUAUUCAAUAAAAUCAUUCCUUUACUGCAUGCAUUUAAUUUAAAACAAAUGUCCACUCACAGAUUUAGGCCUAAGCUUGACGUCAAUCCGAGGUCUUUUCAGCUCAAGCCUACUCACGUCCUGUUUCAAAUAUAUAAUUAAGCCCCAACUAAAAAUUCAAUACUUAUCUAAAUAAACAAGAAUAAAAGUGAGUCUUAUACAACACUCGUCCUUGCCCAACUUCUCCAUUCUUAGCACAAUAAGGCCCGAACUUCACCACAAGCAUCAACAGCCUUAAAACACCUUUCUAAAGUUGUUAGGACCCACCUGAAUUUCACCCUGAAACCCGAGGUAAAUCCUACGGGGUCCACCUUCAAGGAAAAUUUACCGAAAAUUCGGCAUAACAUUCCUUGAAAAUGGACAACCCUUACCUGAAAAAUCCAACUCAACACUUCUAUAACCAAACAUCCAUCCUUAACACUUGGAGCCUUCCUGCUCCCCAAGUUCAUCUCAUCUUCCAAUAUAACAAUUACUCAUCUAAAAUAGUCCCACAACUGACAAUAACUAACAUUAAUUCACUAACUGGUUAUCAGAACAUAUCUAAAGUUAAACGAAAAACAAUGACUAAAGAACAAGCGGAAGCAGCCUCUGACUAUGCCUCGACUCCAUAUACGCUCGACCUCAAUUAUACUUAACCUGCAAACUGGGUAUUUAAAACCAAAGGGCCCAGAGGAAAGUAAUUUAAACACGUUAGAGUGAGUGGACAAAAUAAUUUAACAAAUACUCAAUUUAAAUACUUUCCCACAUUUCAGCUUUAAAAACUUAGCUGCACGCAAUAUUUGAUAAAUCAUAUAACUUAAAUCCACAAACCCAUAAGAAUGGACAAACCAGCCAUGCUGCUUUUUUUUAAAACGUUUUAUUAAUAACUCACACACCCUGCAUAUGCCCGUGAGGUUUGAACCCGUGAGCUCAAAGUUGUUAGUUAAACCAGCCCCGCUGGUUAAAUCAAAUAAAGAAAUCUCCUAAAAAGAGAUAAACCAGCCCCGCUGGUUGAUCAAAUAUAUAUCUGAGAAGAAUAAAAUAAGGGGAAGAGUUAUCACCAUGAAAAAGGAGCCUCCUAGGCUCGGGUCGGUGCGUCCCAGGCUAUAAUAGCAUCCAACGCUAAGCGCUAUACUCACCUAUAGUGAAGACCGCUAAUAAAAGCUAGCUAACUAAUAAAUAUAAAUACCAAUCGGUUGCCUCCUAGGCUAAUAUAGCGUCCCACGUUACGCGCUCUACUCACAUAUGAAGAGGACCGCUAAUAAAGCUAUAAUAGUGACUCACAUAUGAUGAGGACCGCUAAUAAGGUUAGCUAGCAAUAAUCAAUAAAAAAGCGACCCUAUAUUAUGGUGACUAAAAUCAUACACGAAUCUUUUAAAUCCAUGAAACUUCCCCAAGAUCAUACGAAUGGUAUGGUUCCCAACCGUACUUGAAAAUCAUCAUAAUAAAUUAUAAUAAACUCAAUGACGUGUCUCACACGUCAAAAUAUUCUCGAAACCAUAUCAUAAGCGAGAUUUAAUUAACAAGUAAAAAUCAUAAUUAAUAUCUCAAUCUAAAAUACUCGCUAAAACAUUCUCAAGAUCAAGAUCGAUAUUCCACCAAUAAUUUCCAAAAUUAUAAAUAGCAAACUAUCGAAAAUCCCAUUUUCGGAAAUCUUUUAUCUCAAAGUCCACUAAUAAAACCAUUUUAAUGAAAUCCGGAAUUUAUAAAAAUAUCCAAACUCAAAUAUCAAAUUAGUAAUCCGAGCUCAAAUCCAGAAAUCAUGACCCAUAAUUAAUCAAUGCUUCAAUCUCAAAUACUUUCCAAGAUCAUUUCAUAAGCCGAAAUUAUAAUAUAAGCUUGGAAAAUAAAUUAACAAAUUAUAAAAUCUUGCAUGCAAAUUUAUUUAAAACCAAAAUGUCCACUCACAAAUUUAGGCAUAAGUCCAACGAUAACCGGAUCGCCACUCAAACGAGGUUCCCUUCGCAUCCUGGCACAACAACCAUGCUUAGAACCAAACUUCAAUUCCAGAAAAUAAAUACGUGAAUAAAAACAUCUAACUCUCUUCCGUUGAACCCACUACUCUUAAUAGGGUUAAACUCGCCGGAUUCACACCAAACUCCACCACAACCUUAAUUCAUCAAUUCUAACAUUCUAUAAUAAAUACCAAGGAAAUCCAACAGCCUGGAUUUUCAUUCUAAUAACCGGCAAAAUCCUUAAUCUUUUAAAAAUCCCAAACCUUAUCAAAACUCCUCCAAAAAUUCCAAACUAUACUUCAUUAGACUCCUCUCAUUAUAACAAACCCAAAAACCUAAAAAACAACCUCCAAGUGGCGGCGGCGCCGCUUGCUCCACCUGCAGCCGUACUCCGGCGGCGUCUAUUGCCUCUCAAAAUUUAACAGAAUAAUCCUCUCAUCAAGCACAAUAACUUUCAUCACUAGCACUUAGUCCAAUUCUAAGCUUAACUAGGGUAAUCGAAUCAAAACAUCCAAAAAUCCCCCAAUUCAAACCCUAGCCCGAAAAUCCUCCUACACACUUCGAAUUAGAUCAUUACCUUCUAUGGAAAUGUUACACACGGAGAGCACUUCCAAAUGGGACUGAAAUCAUCGGAGAUGGUGGCUGGAGGAGCGAGUUCCGGCGUCGGGACUCCACCACGCAGCCGGAGCUUCCGAGAGCUCUUCCUCCCUCACGGCGGGGCUAGGGCGGCUCCCACCGGUCCAAGAAGAGAGCUGGGUCGACAGCCGACCGUUUGGGAUCGGUGCGGCUGUCUCUGGUGGCCGAACGGCGGCGAAUGACGCUGGGAAAGUUUUCGGCAGGAGAGAGAGCCUGGGGAGGCUCGGGAGAGAGAGAGAGAAGAGAGAGAGAAAGAGAAUGUGGGUGUUGGGCUUCUCCACACCCGGUCCACCACUUAAAACACCCACAAAAUAAAACCCAAUAAAAAUUUACCCCUUACCAACUAAUAUUUACCCUUUUAAUUGUUAACUUUGUCAUGCAAAUUUCGAAUUUAACACAUAGCAUGUCUAUGAACUCGUAUUAACGUCCUCUUCGACUUUCAUGAAGAAAGUUUUCCCAAAUUCCAAACGGAAGAAAAAGUCAACUUUUGGAGUCUUAAAAUUGUAAACGGUUACUUAAAACGGUAAAAGACCAAAAUAAUACCAAAGUAAAUAACUAUAAAAUAACUUAAGAACCGGGGUGUGACAAAAGUUUAAACAAUGCUAAUCCAACGACUGGAUUCUACCCUAUUAACCGCCAAGUUCACCAAUCAAUGAAAAUCCCAAACCUAACCAAAACUUCUCCAAAAAUUACAAACUUCACAUCAUUAUACUCCUCUAAACAUAACAAAUUUAAUAACAUGAAAAACUACCCAAAAGAGGCGGCGCCACCGUCUGCUCUGCUGGCAGCGGCGACGGCCAGCCAUUCUCCGACCACCUCUUAUGCGCACCAAAAUUUAACAUAAUCUUCCUCUCAACACGCUCAACAACUUCCUUAACUAACACAAACACCAAUUCCAAGCCUAGAUAGGGUAAUCGAACCAAAACAAUAAUAAUCCCAAAUUGAAACCCUAGAACUUCAACUAACCGAUUCUCCUCACCUGAUGCGAAUUGGUUUGAUUCCUUCUAGGGUAUUGUUAUACCAAGAAAGGCCUUCAAGAUGAGCCAAAGGUCUCUAACUAUGAUGGCAGGAUGAGGAAGAUUUCGGCAAGAACUCCACUACUGUGCAGUCGCACUUUCAGUCGAUAUUUCUCUCUCACGGUGGCUCUAGGGAGGUUUCCACCAACCCAGAAAGGUAGUAGAGGUGAUGGCCAGUCGAACGGGACCGGGGCGGUGGCCUGAGCUGGCUGGACGGCGGUGAUCGGAGGUGGAGAUCGUUGGCAGGGAGGGAGACUCGGGGGAGAGGAGAGAGAAGAGAGAGUUGGGUUGUUUUUACUCCUUCCCUGUCAGGACCCACCCCGAAAAUUUACUGAAAAUUCGGCAUAAUCUACAUUGAAAAUGAACAACCCUUACCUGAAAAAUUUCAAAUAAACACUUCUAUUAAAAAUCAUCCAUCCUCAACUCCUAGAGCCUUCCUGCUCCCCAAGUUCAUCACAUCUCCUAAUAUAUCAAUUACUCAUCUAAAAGCAUCCCACAACCAAAAACAAAGACAUUUAAUAAGUUACUACUGAAUUUUCAGAGCAUAUUUAAUGAUGAAUGAAAAACAAUGAAAACGAAUAAGCGGAAGCAGCCUCUGACUAUGCCUCGACUUCAUGUACGCUUGACCUCAUUUAAACUUAUCCUGCAUACUGGGCAUUUAAAACCAAAGGGCCCAAGCGAAAGUAAUUUAAAACGUUAGAGUGAGUGGACAAAAAUAAAUUAAAUAAUUUAACAAAAUCGUAAUUUUAAUACUUUCCCACGUUUAAACUUUUAAAACCUCGAUGCAUACAACUUUGAUAAACAUUUAACUUUAAAAUCCAUAAUCUCAUUAAAAAAAUAGAUAAACCAGCCCCGCUGGUUAACCAAAUUCAUAAAUGAGAAGAAUAAAAUAAGGGAAAGAGUUAUCACAAUGUAAAAGGAGCCUCCCAGGUUCGGGUCAGUGCCUCCCAGGCUAUAAUAGCGUCCCACGCUAAGCGCUUUACUCACUUAUAGUGAGGACCGCUAAUAAUGGCUAGCUAACUAAUAAAUAUAAAUACCGAUAGGUUGCCUCCCAAGCUAUAAUAGCGUCCCACGCUAAGGGCUCUACUCACCUGUGGUGAGGACCGCUAAUAAUGGUUAGGUAACAAUAAUCAAUAUAAACGACCCUAUAUUAUGGUGACUAAAAACAUACGAAAACACUUAAUUUCAUUAAACUUCCCCAAGAUCAUACGAAUGGUACGGUUCCCAACCGUACUUGAAAAUCAUCAUAAGAAAUUAUAUUAAAACUCAAUGACGUGUCUCACACGUCAAAAUAUUCUCAAAUCCAUAAUUAUAAGUGAGAUUUAAUUAUCAAAUAUAAAUUGUAAAUAAUUUCAUAAUCCGAAAACACUCGCUAAAAAUAUUCUCAAUGUCAAGAUCGAUAAUCCACAAGUAAACUAGUAAGUUAUAAGUAGAGAACUACCGAAAAUCCCAUUUUUGGUAAUCUUUUAUAAAUCUCACAAUCAUCAAAAUAAAACCGAUAAUAAUUAAAUCCGGAGUCAUAAAGAAUAUGCAAACUCAAAUACCAACUUUAAAACCCAAGCUCAAAUCCAUAAAUCAUGACCAACACUUAAACAAUGCUUCAAACUCAAAUAAAUUCAAGACCAUAUCAUAAACUAAAAUUAUAAUGUAAGCUUGGAAACUAAAUUGAUAUCUUAUAAAAUCUUGCAUGCAUAUUUAUUAAAAUCAAAGUGUCCACUCACAGUAUUAGGCUUAAGCUUUCCAUUGCUCGGAACACUCCUCGAGCGCCGCCUCCAAAUAUCCAUGUCCUUGAGUCAAUCCCGCCUGACCAUAAGCUGUAGGACAAAUCGGUCAGACCGAACCUUAAAAUAACCAUUGCCUCGUCUUCUUUCCUAGUUUGACUAGGGUUUCCUAGGUUGACCAGGAUUGGCCAACUAACGAUGCUCAACGUUUUCCAAUUCAACCUUUGACUUAACAAUUCGAUCCAAUUUUCACUAUACGUCCCACUAACCGUUAGACACUUGGGCAUCGCUUAAUAAUUCAUUUUGAUGGACUUCGAUUUUAAUUAAUCAAACUAAUGCAAUUUCUGUCAAGACCCACCCCGAAUUUUACCCUAAAACCCAGAGUAAGUCCUGCGGGGACCACUCCCAAGUAAAGAUUUACCUAAAAAUUGGCAAAACCUCCUUUGAAAAUGGACAACCCUUACCUGAAAAAUUUCAAAUUUACACUCCUACUAACACACAUCCAACCUUAACUCCUGGAGCCAUCCGCUCCCCGCAAACACAACCGCCACAAAAUCAACAAUACAUCAACAUCCAAACAUCACAUAAAUAUCCAGCUAAAACAGUAAACCUCAUCCUUCAGAUACUUUAAAUAGAAAACAACAGACCGAGCACACCACCGAAAUAAUUUACAUUAAUCCCAAAGUAUUCAGAGCUACUAGACACUAGCGGAAGCAAGAAAACACGGGUAGGUUAAACAUGUAACCUACUGGUGAAAAGUGGUGGAAAUGCGGGUGACUAUGCCUCGCCUCCUACUAGAUCCAACCUGAACUCUGCAGACUGGGCAAUUUAAAACGAAGGGCGCAGGGGAAAACAUUUAAUAACGUUAGAGUGAGUGGAUGAAAAUAAAUUAAUAAAUAAAAUAUUUAUGUUUCCCCAGAUUAAUUUCUAAGGAAAAAUCGAAUGCAUGCCGCAAGCGAUAAAACUUUUAUCUCAUAAAAUAUCGAGCCUCUCAGGCUCUAUAAUAUAUGUAUGUAUUUACACACGUCCAUACUCCCUAUAUAAAUUCAUGGGUCUAUAUAGGGCUACUAGGCUCGCGUCCAACGCUUACGUCACGCCUUAAUGCGGUGCCACACUACGCCAUUAAGGUGGACAGACGGGUGUAUAAAUAUGUGUCCAUACCCCUUAUAUGAAUUAAACACUCAUAUAGGGCUACUACACUUACGUCCAACGCACACGUCAUACCAUAAUGCAGCUAUAUGCUACGCCAUUAAGGUGGACAGACACAUAUGGCUAGCUAGCAUUUAUAUACAUACUCUCCUCAAUAUACAUAUUUAUACUCACCGAAAAAUCCCAUUUUUCGGUAACUCUCCAAGAGAAAUAAAAGCGUCAAAAUUAAAUGACGUCAAAAGUCCAACAAACUCAAUUGUUCAACCAUGAACCAUAACAUGCAUAUUAUUAAAAACAAAAGUCCACUCACAAAUUAGGCCUAAGCCUGAUGUCGAUCUGGGGCCUCGUCUGCUCGAGCCUCCUCACGUCCUGUUCCAAAUAUAAGAUUAAUUUUCUAGCCGAAAUUCCAAUAUUUACUCAAAAAUAGGCAAAUAAAUAUGAGCCGUAACCACGCUCAUUGUCGCCUAACUUCGAUAUUUCUAAACCGAAACGAUCCAAACUUUAAUACCAAAAUCGGCAGCCGUAACACAACCUCCCACAGAUUUAAAGACUUUAAUCCUACAGCCGGAUUCUACAUUAAUUAACCGCCAAAAAUACCAAACUUUGGAAAAUCUCAAACCUAUCCAAAACUCAUCCAAAAAUUUCAUAUUUCACAUCAAUAAACUCCCAUUAAUUUUCCACAUUUAAAACCAUAAAAAUCUCUCACACAGCGGCGGCCGGAAGCCGACUCCGGCGACCUCCAAUGCCUAUGAAAUUUUGACAGCAUCUUCCUCUCAACCCCCUCUACAACUUUCCUAACUAGCACAAACAUCAAUUCCAAGCCUAACUAGGUCAAUCGAGCAAAAACAUCCUAAAAGCCCUAGAAAAUUCAACUCCACAUUUCUUUUUACCUAGCUCAAGAGAGGGUGAGACCUUUUGAUAAGUGCAUUUUUACGCCAUGAUCUUAAUGGAUUUUCACCCCCAUUUACACUUUGUUUGUGCCUUAGUAUGUUUGUUUUUACUUAUUUUAGAGUCAAGAGGGUUUUUCUGUAGAGUUGUGACUACUAGUCGUUUUUAUACAGAAAAUUGCACUUAAAUGAUGAAAACCGUUUUUGGACUAUCACUUGGACGUUUUACCGUGAUUCGUUAUUGGGUUACCUUGUCAGUUUUGAUGUAUCUUGUUUAAAUGUGCAGAAGACGGGUACAUGAACGUUACGUAUCAAGAAUCAUGGUGAAUGGACUCAUGAAUGACAACAAGUGAGGCCACGGAAGAGGAAGGAACACUUCUAGACAUUGUUUUUGGUCUCGGACAGAAUCUGCCAGAAAACGUACAUCUACUUCGGAAAAUCAUAUCUCGAGAUCUAGGAGGAGUUAGAAGACGUGCCACAUAUGGACUUAAAGCUGUNNNNN